UUAUUUCUCAGGCGGUGUGGCGUCUCAGUAGAGGGUGUGUCUACAUGUGUAACAUAAAAAGGUUUCACUGCUGUCCUCCCUUGACAUUUGUACUCUCCAGCGAUAUUUGAACAUUACAUAAAUUCACACUACUUUGUCAACAUGUCGGAGCAGCCGAAGGCCAUAUGUGGAAUGCUACUGCUCCAGCAAGCCUUUUACGAGCAUGCAAAGAAAAGGGGAGACCGAACUGUUUUGACCAAUGCAGAAUUUGCUGAGAUGCUCCGCAAAGAAUACUGCAUUGAUCUCAAGGACAGUCCGCAGAAGACUGACUUCUUCAACAAGCUGGAUUUCGACGGGGAUGGAUAUAUCGACUUUCAGGAGUUUUGUGUUCAUAUGGCAACCUUUAUGAUGUUCUUGGAGAAAUAAAGCACAGUACAAGAGAAAAACUG